AUAUGGAGGGGGCUAGCGUUGUUCGGAAUUACUGGGCGUAAAGCGCGCGUAGGCGGCUUAUUAAGUCAGAUGUGAAAUCCCCGGGCUCAACCUGGGAACUGCAUCUGAUACUGGUAAGCUAGAGUUUUGGAGAGGGAAGUAGAAUUUCAGGUGUAGCGGUGAAAUGCAUAGAGAUCUGAAGGAAUACCAGUGGCGAAGGCGACUUCCUGGCCAAAAACUGACGCUGCGGUGCGAAAGCGUGGGUAGCAAACGGGAUUAGAUACCCUAGUAGUCC
rnacentral:rRNA from 1 species